AAAAAUGCAAUUUUAUUUGUUUACGUUGGUCAUUGGUGUUGAGAACUAGAAUUUUUUGUGAAAAAAAUCUACGAACACUUCAACCACCAAUGUUAAAACUGCAUUAGGGCGAAACACUUGAGUUUUGAGCAAUAAAUCUCGGUUAAUUUGGUGGCUCACACAAGCUGCGUUGUGGGAAGUUUAUGGAAACUCACCAAGACGAAAAAAAUUAAGUUUUACGAUGGAAUUCGAUUUUAGCAAAGUUUUUUACUGCUCUCGUUUUGUUAGGAUUGUGUUGUUCUUCAAAUCAGUGGCUCUUUGCAUCGCAAGACGUAAAGUCUCGAAAUUUUUGAACUUGCAUAAAGUUUUUGGAAUUACUGAGUACAAUGGAGAAACGUCUGCCUAGCAGAGUGUCUGAGGGUCAGUGGAAUAUUUUAAUAGAUUUCCUUGAGCAACACCCUAAUCUAGCUAGAGCACGUGGAUACAACAACAGUGCGCAUGGAAGAGCUGAGUCAUUCCGCUUGUGGCAAGAGGUGGCUAACUCGUUGAAUGCAGAAGGUUCUGGUACAACUAAAUCUCCGAAGGAAUGGUCUGUUAACAUCGGAGGAAGCAGUUCCAGUGGAAAUUGAAGAGGAACUUCUAGUACUACCUUUGGAGAUACCUAAUAAUGACAACAGGCCAUUAUUGCCUAGACAAAGAAGGCAAAAAAGGGUUCGCACUCGGCCACUAGCUCCUUUAGAUGAGGCACGGAGAAUACUCUCCCAAGUUGAGAUGCAGCGUGCUGCAGCAGAUGCUGCUAGUGCUGAAGGUCUUCAAAAUAUAGGACUUAAUUUAGGACGUUUAGCUAAUAUAGCUGAGCAAUACUUUCAAUACAUAGUUUCUCUUAGACCUGCAUAAAAGGUCUAAUGAUAAAAUAUGAUAUCGGCAGGUUUCUGUUUCCUUGAUAAUUAGUACUUAACCAUUAUAUUUUCAUAACGAUUUUAAAAUUGAAAUGUUAUACUUUAUAUUUGAUAUCUUGGGAUUAAAAAUAUGGACAUUACUUUACUUACUUUUUUCUUUUAGAACAUCAUAAUUACAAAAUUUUAACUUGU